ensembl:snoRNA SNORA73 Small nucleolar RNA SNORA73 family
UCAACGUGGAUAUUCCCGGGAGGUCACUCUCCCCGGGCUCUGUCCAGGUGGCGUACGGGAGCAUAGGGCUCUGCCCCGUGACGUAUGGUCCCUUUCCACGACGUUGGAGAUGAAGCUGGGCCUUGAGUCUGCGCCUGCAUAUUCCUACAGCUUCUCAGAGUCCUGUGGACCAUGACUGAGGAGACAAACCAUGCAGGAAACAGCU